UACGUAGGGUGCGAGCGUUAAUCGGAAUUACUGGGCGUAAAGCGUGCGCAGGCGGUUUUGUAAGCCAGAUGUGAAAUCCCCGGGCUCAACCUGGGAAUGGCAUUUGGGACUGCAAGGCUGGAGUGUGGCAGAGGAGACUGGAAUUCCUGGUGUAGCAGUGAAAUGCGUAGAUAUGCGGAGGAACACCGAUGGCGAAGGCAAUCCCCUGGGCCUGCACUGACGCUCAUGCACGAAAGCGUGGGGAGCAAACAGG
rnacentral:rRNA from 1 species